CCAAAAGAGGGGUUGGAGAGAGGCAGCUGGAGCUGACCGUGGUCAUCCUUCCAUAGCAGUUGUGGUCCUUGGAAAAGUUUUCUGAUCACAUGCUGUGGAGGAAGCCAGACGCCAUGUUGUGAAGGCACGCAAACAGCCUACAGAGGUCCACAUGGUGAGGAACUGAGGCCUCCUGCAAACAGCUAGCAAUGACUUGCCAGGCAUAAGUAGCUACUUUGCAAAUGGGUCUUCCAGCUCAUCAGGCAUUCAAAUGACUGUAGCCUGACUGACAACUGACUGCAACCUCCUGAGACCUUGAAUCAGAACUGCCCAGCUCCCAAAUUCCUGACCCAUAGCAUCUGUGGGGUAUAAUAAAUGUUUCGGAAUAAUUAA